rnacentral:rRNA from 1 species
CACGUAGGGCGCAAGCGUUGUCCGGAAUUAUUGGGCGUAAAGAGCUCGUAGGCGGUCUGUUGCGUCCGCUGUGAAAACUCGGGGCUUAACCCCGAGCCUGCAGUGGAUACGGGCAGACUAGAGGUAGGUAGGGGAGAAUGGAAUUCCCGGUGUAGCGGUGAAAUGCGCAGAUAUCAGGAGGAACACCGAUGGCGAAGGCAGAUCUCUGGGCCGUAACUGACGCUGAGGAGCGAAAGCGUGGGGAGCGAACAGG